AAAAUGAGUAAUUCUAAAUUAAUUUUGAGAGAUUUCAUAUUUUCUAAGUUAUUAAUAAUCAUUUAAUUAUAUGACUUUUGCCUACAUUUUAGUAUUCUGGAGGAAAGAGAUCUAAAUCCUUUGGGGCGAGUCACUGAAGUUGCUUGACGGCUGUUUUGCUGCCUUCUACCUGUAGGGUAACUGCUGCCUUCUACCUGUAGGGGAAGCGCUUCCUCUGGAGCGGGGGAUGCAGCACCCGGAAGCAGUCAUGCCAGGCCUGCCUGAUUCCCAUCUUCUUGCCAGAGAUCUUUGAAAGUGCAGGUGGAACAGAGUUCUUGCCCCAUGGCUCCACUACCGUUGCAGUCAUAGUGAACGUGAGACCAGAUGGCAGGGAUCUGAUGGUUCAAAGCUGGAGAGGAAUUUUGUCUCAGAAUGAAUCACACCUUGAGUCUCACCAAUAUCUGAUUUAGAUGAUAAGUGGAUGAGACUUUGGACAUUAGAGUUGACGCUGGAAUAAACCAUUUAAGAAGUACCUUUUGCCUUCCACCAUGAUUGUGAGGCCUCCCCAGC
rnacentral:lncRNA from 1 species